AUGGACUCACCCUGGCCACCAGGACGAGAAAUCACCACGCAGAACCCUGGGUUUCAAUGCAUUUCAGAGUGUCAUGGAAAAGGGUGUCCUGGGGAAUGUGAAGGUAAAAGCACAGUGUGGAAUGUGGCUACCUCCUCAUCCUCUUCAAAGAGAAAAUUGUCCCUUAAAAUAGCAUAUGUUGGUGGUCACAUCCCUGCAUGGGGGCUGUUGGCAGGAGGACCAACCUCAGGCAUGGAGUGGUGCCCAUGCAGCCCGUGCCAGCACCCCACUCUCCCAUCACUGCCUCUGGAGCCUUCACCUGCAUUUGCUUUUGCAGCUAUAGUGGAAGGACAUUGCCCAUUCUGGUAGUUAUAUGCAUGUUUUUCUACAUUAAUGUUACUGUAAUGCAGUGGGUCAUUAUCUGCAUAGCUAUUGCCUCGGUAUUUCCUGGUGAUUUUGUCAGUCUCAGCUUCUUUUUUUGUGGAUUCCUAAUGAGAGACCAUAGCUUAAGAAAAAAAAAAAAUACACAGAAGGUGUAUUUUUGUUGUUAAGGCUUGCAAACAAAGAAUGUCAAACAGACCUGUAAGGAAUGAGAGAAUUAAAUUAGUCUACCUGUGUCCCACUGUGCUGAAUCUGGUCCAGCUUUCUAGAAACACUGGUUCAUCAAAAGCAGGUGGGAGGAAAUCUAACUGGAACAGCAGGAGCAACUGGAUUGCAAAGUUCGCUCUUGUCACAAACCCUUUUCUUCUUCAACUUGUUGGGUAUGAAAUAGCUCAUAAAUACAUUGAAGAAUCCUUCUUUCCCCUGCUCUUUUGUGGUACAGGGAAUGACUCUCCUUAAAGUGCAGGUUUUGAGGAAAGAGCUUUUUGUAUAAAUGUUAUCUUUUUCACAUCAUUUAAGUUUUGGUUAAUAAAGGGUGUCUUAACUGUGUAGUAAGGAUCUUU
rnacentral:lncRNA from 1 species